rnacentral:rRNA from 1 species
AUUGAACGCUGGCGGCAUGCUUUACACAUGCAAGUCGAACGGUAACAGGGUGCUUGCACCGCUGACGAGUGGCGAACGGGUGAGUAAUGCGUCGGAACGUGCCGAGUAGUGGGGGAUAACGCAGCGAAAGUUGUGCUAAUACCGCAUACGUACUGAGGUAGAAAGUGGGGGACCUUCGGGCCUCACGCCAUUCGAGCGGCCGACGUCUGAUUAGCUAGUAGGUGAGGUAAGAGCUCACCUAGGCGACGAUCAGGCGCGGGUCUGAGAGGAUGAUCCGCCACACUGGGACUGAGACACGGCCCAGACUCCUACGGGAGGCGGCAGUGGGGAAUUUUGGACAAUGGGCGCAAGCCUGAUCCAGCCAUGCCGCGUGUCUGAAGAAGGCCUUCGGGUUGUAAAGGACUUUUGUCAGGGAGGAAAUCCUAGUGGCUAAUAACUGCUGGGGAUGUCAGUACCUGAAGAAUAAGCACCGGCUAACUACGUGCCAGCCGCCGCAGUAAUAC